rnacentral:tRNA from 1 species
GGAGGAGUACCAAAGUGGUUGAACGGGACGGUCUUGAAAACCGUUAGGCCUGAAAGGGUCUCGGGGGUUCGAAUCCCUCCUCCUCCG